UACGUAGGGUGCGAGCGUUGUCCGGAAUUAUUGGGCGUAAAGAGCUUGUAGGCGGUUUGUCGCGUCUGCUGUGAAAAUCCGGGGCUCAACCCCGGACUUGCAGUGGGUACGGGCAGACUAGAGUGUGGUAGGGGAGACUGGAAUUCCUGGUGUAGCGGUGAAAUGCGCAGAUAUCAGGAGGAACACCGAUGGCGAAGGCAGGUCUCUGGGCCACUACUGACGCUGAGAAGCGAAAAGCAUGGGGGAGCGAACAGG
rnacentral:rRNA from 1 species